rnacentral:tRNA from 1 species
AGAGCUUUAGCUUAAUAAAAGUAUUUGAGUUGCAUUCAUAAGAUGUGGGUUAAACGCCUGCAGGCUCUA